rnacentral:rRNA from 1 species
CAGCCGCCGCGGUAAUACGUAGGGCGCAAGCGUUAUCCGGAAUUAUUGGGCGUAAAGAGCUCGUAGGCGGUUUGUCGCGUCUGCCGUGAAAGUCCGGGGCUCAACCCCGGAUCUGCGGUGGGUACGGGCAGACUAGAGUGAUGUAGGGGAGACUGGAAUUCCUGGUGUAGCGGUGAAAUGCGCAGAUAUCAGGAGGAACACCGAUGGCGAAGGCAGGUCUCUGGGCAUUAACUGACGCUGAGGAGCGAAAGCAUGGGGAGCGAACAGGAUUAGAUACCCCCGUAGUCCUGUCUCUUAUACA